rnacentral:rRNA from 1 species
AGGGAAUCUUCGGCAAUGGACGGAAGUCUGACCGAGCAACGCCGCGUGAGUGAAGAAGGUUUUCGGAUCGUAAAGCUCUGUUGUAAGAGAAGAACGAGUGUGAGAGUGGAAAGUUCACACUGUGACGGUAUCUUACCAGAAAGGGACGGCUAACUACGUGCCAGCAGCCGCGGUAAUACGUAGGUCCCGAGCGUUGUCCGGAUUUAUUGGGCGUAAAGCGAGCGCAGGCGGUUAGAUAAGUCUGAAGUUAAAGGCUGUGGCUUAACCAUAGUACGCUUUGGAAACUGUUUAGCUUGAGUGCAAGAGGGGAGAGUGGAAUUCCAUGUGUAGCGGUGAAAUGCGUAGAUAUAUGGAGGAACACCGGUGGCGAAAGCGGCUCUCUGGCUUGUAACUGACGCUGAGGCUCGGAAGCGUGGGGAGCAAACAGGAUUAGAUACCCUGGUAGUCCACGCCGUAAACGAUGAGUGCUAGGUGUUAGACCCUUUCCGGGGUUUAGUGCCGUAGCUAACGCAUUAAGCACUCCGCCUGGGGAGUACGACCGCAAGGUUG